rnacentral:rRNA from 1 species
AUUGAACGCUGGCGGAAUGCUUUGCACAUGCAAGUCGAACGGUAGAGGGGGCAACCCCUCGAGAGUGGCGAACGGGUGAGUAAUAUAUCGGAACGUGCCCAGUCGUGGGGGAUAACGAAGCGAAAGGUACGCUAAUACCGCAUACGAUCUAAGGAUGAAAGCGGGGGAUCGCAAGAACGCGCGCGAUUGGAGCGGCCGAUAUCAGAUUAGGUAGUUGGUGGGGUAAAGGCUCACCAAGCCAACGAUCUGUAGCUGGUCUGAGAGGACGACCAGCCACACUGGAACUGAGACACGGUCCAGACUCCUACGGGAGGCAGCAGUGGGGAAUUUUGGACAAUGGACGCAAGUCUGAUCCAGCCACUCCGCGUGCAGGAUGAAGGCCCUCGGGUUGUAAACUGCUUUUGUACGGAACGAAAAGGUCUCUCUUAAUACGGGGGGCUCAUGACGGUACCGUAAGAAUAAGCACCGGCUAACUACGUGCCAGCAGCCGCCGUAA